rnacentral:tRNA from 1 species
GGUAAAAUGGCUGAUAAAAGCAUUAGACUGUAAAUCUAAGUAUGAGGGUCAAAGUCCUCUUUUGCCAA